GCCUCGCCUGUUUACCAAAAACAUCGCCUCUUGUUGUUUAAAAAUAAGAGGUCCAGCCUGCCCAAGGACUAUGUGUUUAACGGCUGCGGUAUUUUAACCGUGCGAAGGUAGCGUGAUCACUCGUCUUUUAAAUAGAGACCCGUAUGAAUGGUAAAACGAGGGCUUAGCUGUCUCCUUUUUCAUGUCAAUGAAAUUGAUCUUCCCGUGCAAAAGCGGGAAUUACCCCAUAAGACGAGAAGACCCUGUGAAGCUUUAGAUAUUAAGACAGAUCUGGUAAAAGAACCCUAAAAAGGAUUAAGCUUCUAAUUCCUGUCUUAGCGUCUUCGGUUGGGGUGACCACGGGGAGUUGCAUAACCCCCGCGUGGACUGGGUGCAAGAAUGUUUUUGCUCCUAAAGCCAAGAGCCUCCGUUCUAAUAAACAGAAUUUCUGACCUUAUAAGAUCCGGCAAUGCUGAUCAACGAACCAAGUUACUCCAGGGAUAACAGCGCCAUCCUCUUUCAGAGCCCUUAUCGACAAGGGGGUUUACGACCUCGAUGUUGGAUCAGGACAUCCUAAUGGUGCAGCCGCUAUUAAGGGUUCGUUUGUUCAACGAUUAAUAGUCCUACGUGAUCUGAGUUCAGACCGG
rnacentral:rRNA from 1 species